rnacentral:rRNA from 1 species
UACGAAGGGGGCUAGCGUUGUUCGGAAUUACUGGGCGUAAAGCGCGCGCAGGCGGCCAUUCAAGUCAGGGGUGAAAGCCCAGAGCUCAACUCUGGAACUGCCCUUGAAACUGUAUGGCUUGAGUAUGAGAGAGGUGAGUGGAAUUCCCAGUGUAGAGGUGAAAUUCGUAGAUAUUGGGAAGAACACCGGUGGCGAAGGCGGCUCACUGGCUCAUUACUGACGCUCGAGGCGCGACAGCCGUGGGGAUCAAACAG